ensembl:lincRNA
GGCCAUUUCUCACGACCCACUGCCACCUACUGUCCGCAGCGGAGAACUGCAGACCGAGCGCGGCAGGCCUCUGGGAAGCUGCCACCGGGAGGGGCCAGAGCCCCAGGCGGCGCUCAGGCCCCUUGGCCUGGAGCCCCAGUUCCCAAUGUGUUACGGAUACGUGUUGCAGCCCUGUGGGAACAACUCAGCUGGCCACCUGAAGCCCUGAUGCUCUGGCUUGCACUAUUACUGGGGUAACUGGACCCCUGGGGACACAGGAGCACUAGGGCAAGGGCCUCCCUUCCCAUUCGGCUACAGUCCGCUUUAGAGGCCUGAAAAUCCUGCCCCUGGGUUUGGAGGGCUGUCUCUGGCUGCUUGAACUGGACCUGAUGUAGGGCUUCCAGAGACAAUUGUCCCUGUUUCCAGUUUCCAGAUUAGAACUUCGCCUGUCCUGCAAGCCUGACCUGAGUCUGAGCUGGGCCUGCCUUCAGCUUUCUCCCUAUUCUCUGGAUGCCUUAUGUGACCUUCUCUUGGGGCAUGGAUCAGGCAGCCCUGCAUAAAAGCAUGGUCCCAAAUCUUGACUUCUCCACUCACAAGCUGGCUGAUCUGAGGCACUGAUGGUGCAUGACAAACCGUGGUGAUGGUUCUCCACUGAGAAAAGAUGAUAAAGUCUCUCAGAAGCAAUACUCUUCUUACCAAGUGUCCUGCUUUGGAUCAUGAUUUAUAUGGCCACUCCUGUAAGAAAAGGAACAGAUUUUCAAAUUCUGCUUCAUGUGGUGCCAGAAUCUCUGCUUUUUGCCUCUUUCUCAUCCUCUGUGAGUGCAGUUGUGGCUUUCCUCAUCAGGUGUUCGGCAGUAGCCCUGGGUGAGGUAGGAGGAUGUGGGUCCUGGACGACACAUGACUGCUCUCCAGAACCUAGAGCACUUCUCCAGCAGGGAGAGAAUUUCACAGCUCAUUGACUGCUCUGACUCCUAAUCUACACGGAGGAAACAAUGUUGCAGCUCAUCAAAUGCAAUCAGCUGCUAAUUGAAAGGAAAUGGAAUUUUACAAUUACAGGCCACCUUUCAGUGCUCAGGAUUUCUAAGCACUUCUCCCCACCCUCCUUUGCCAGCUCAGCACUGGCAGGAGCACUUGACAACCUGC